UUGGGGUAAGGCAGUAGAUCAUCAAUUUGUUGCUCACGUAAGAUAUAAAGAUACAUAUGAGUAUAGUCGGAUUUGACAUUGGCAUUGUGCGCAUUAAGUUCCAACUCUUCCAUUGCUGUUAAUAAGGACCUCAAAAUGCUCCUUGAAGUAAAUGACAAAGCCCAUUGCUUACUAGCUGCUUCCACGUCUAGCCUUUGAAAUCCAGUGAAUCCUUCAUUUGUUGUUGGCUGCCUUACAAGUGUUCUGAGGAACAUUCUUUGGAUUGGUAGCGGCUUGUCUACAACAGUGUACAAGUGCCACUGGCGGUCCCGAGAUGGGGUAUACUGUAUAUUCUCAUAGCCUUUGAGCUUGUCCUGGAUCAGAACAAAAGUUGAGUAACUUCAUAGCAAGAGUCCAUGCAUAUAAUUUUUCUCACUCUUAACCCAAAACACUGGUGCUAGAACCAAAAAAAUUACUAACCAAUUCAAGGUAAAUGGAUAGAGGAGGUUCCAGAUGACGCAAUAAAGGUUCUUCCUCAUAAU
rnacentral:lncRNA from 1 species